AAAGCUCUCAGCUAUAUCGUUAGUCAAGAGAGUGCAAUAAAAUAAAAAAAAAAACGACUGCGACAAACAUCACAGAAAGUUGGGCAGGACACACGGCUAUAAUUAGAGUUAAAUAUACAAAAAAAAAAUGUGGCAUCUUUUGAUUUGAUUGAGAAUGUCGCCGCCAACAAUUGCGAUUAGAAAAGUGUGCAGUACAUAAGAAAAUUGCUAAAGAGUCGAGUGUGUCGAGAGUGUCGAGUCGAGUCGAGAGUCGAGUUGAGUCGAGAGUCGAGUCGAAUCGCGGUGUCCAUGUCCAGUGUGUGUGCCAGCAAAGCAAGUUCAACGUUACUUGUGAAUUUGGUGUUCGAAUAGCAUUUUGUGCAAUACUUGUAAGAAUAAUUGAAGAAAAACACGACUUCAUCAAGCAAAACGCAAGAGAAAACAAAA